AGGCGAGCGAGCGGCUAGGUUCGUGAUCUGGAGAGACGCUCAGCACAGUGCUCGACAUGAGAUAAUCACUCACUGUUGCUUCAGUUCAGGACUGGAAAUCAAUGGAAAGGAAGAACAGUUAAGAUUAUUAAGUUCCUGCAACUUAACUGGGAACUGAUCAAGAUUUCAAGCUAAAGAUGGUGGUGAUGAACAGCCUGAGGGUCAUUCUUCAAGCCUCUCCAGGCAAAUUGCUGUGGAGAAAGUUCCAGAUUCCGAGAUUCAUGCCAGCGAGGCCCUGCAGCCUCUAUACUUGUACUUACAAAACCCGGAACCGAGCCUUGCAUCCACUCUGGGAGAGCGUGGACCUGGUUCCUGGGGGCGAUCGACAGUCACCCAUCAACAUUCGGUGGAGGGACAGUGUUUAUGAUCCCGGCUUAAAACCACUGACCAUCUCUUAUGACCCAGCCACCUGCCUCCACGUCUGGAAUAAUGGGUACUCUUUCCUCGUGGAAUUUGAAGAUUCUACAGAUAAAUCAGGUGAGGGCAAGAUCUGGUGGUCUUGUAAGGAGUUAAAGAAACAGUGUCAUGUUAACAGAGGACACAUCAAACUCUCUCCAUGAUAGUAUUGACCUCUUUGUGAGCAAUGGCAUGGAACU
rnacentral:sRNA from 1 species